rnacentral:rRNA from 1 species
GUAAUGGCGAAUGAAGCGGCAAGAGCCCAAAUUUGAAAUCGGGCAACCGAGUUGUAAUUUGGAGACGGGACACUAGAGAGGAGGAAGGCGAUUAAGUGCCUUGGAACAGGCUGCCGUAGAGGGUGAGAGCCCCGUGAAUCGCUGGAGACCGAUCAAUUAGUGCCCGCCGAAGAGUCGAGUUGUUUGGGAAUGCAGCUCUAAGUGGGUGGUAUAUUCCAUCUAAGGCUAAAUAUUAGCGAGAGACCGAUAGCAAACAAGUACAGUGAUGGAAAGAUGAAAAGAACUUUGGAAAGAGAGUGAAAUAGUACGUGAAAUUGUUGAAAGGGAAGGGUAUUUGAUCCGACAUGGUGUUUAGCAGCGGCCCGUUCCUCGUGGAUGGGUGCACCUGGUUUACACUGGGCCAGCAUCGGUUCUGGGAGCCAUAUACGGGGUUCGUGAAUGUGGCCCUUCGAUUCUGUCGGAGGGUGUUAUAGCGCGGACAUCUUGUGGCUAGCCGGGACCGGGGACUGCGGUGACUUGUCACCAAGGAUGCUGGCAGAACGAGCAAAUACCACCCGUCUUGAAACAUGGACCAAGGAGACUAACGUCUAUGCGAGUGUUUGGGUGGAUAAAACCCAUUAACGCGGAAUGAAAGUGAACGUAGGUCGGAGCCCCCUUGGGGGCGCACGAUCGACCGAUCCCGAUGUUUUACCGGAGGGAUUUGAGUAAGAGCAUAGCUGUUGGGACCCGAAAGAUGGUGAACUAUGCCUGAAUAGGGUGAAGCCAGAGGAAACUCUGGUGGAGGCUCGCAGCGGUUCUGACGUGCAAAUCGAUCGUCGAAUUUGGGUAU